rnacentral:rRNA from 1 species
GACGUAGGAUGCGAGCGUUGUUCGGAUUUAUUGGGCGUAAAGCGAGCGUAGGUGGCUAGUUAAGUCUGGUGUUAAAGCUAGAGGCUCAACCUCUGUGAUGCACUGGAAACUGGCUGGCUUGAGUGUGGUAGGGGAAGGUGGAAUUCCGAGUGUAGCGGUGAAAUGCGUAGAUAUCUGGAGGAACACCGGUGGCGAAGGCGGCAUCCUGGGACCAAUACUGACGCUGAGGAGCGAAAGCUAGGGGAGCAAACGGG